CCUGGCGGCCAUAGCGCCGUGGAACCACCUGAUCCCAUGCCGAACUCAGAAGUGAAACGCGGUAGCGCCGAUGGUAGUGUGGCAUUCGCCAUGCGAGAGUAGGACACUGCUAGGC
rnacentral:rRNA from 3 species